rnacentral:rRNA from 1 species
UACGGGGGGAGCAAGCGUUGUUCGGAUUUACUGGGCGUAAAGGGCGCGUAGGCGGCCACCGCAAGUCAAUUGUGAAAUCUCCGGGCUUAACUCGGAAAGGUCAACUGAUACUGCGGGGCUAGAGUGCGGAAGGGGCAACUGGAAUUCUCGGUGUAGCGGUGAAAUGCGUAGAUAUCGAGAGGAAUACCUGCGGCGAAGGCGGGUUGCUGGGCCGACACUGACGCUGAUGCGCGAAAGCCAGGGGAGCGAACGGG